rnacentral:rRNA from 1 species
UACGUAGGGGGCCAGCGUUGUCCGGAAUCAUUGGGCGUAAAGCGCGCGUAGGCGGUCAGGUAAGUCCGGUGUGAAAGUCAUAGGCUCAACCUAUGGAUGCCGCUGGAAACUGCCUGACUUGAGUCCGGGAGGGGCGAGUGGAAUUCCUGGUGUAGCGGUGAAAUGCGCAGAUAUCAGGAGGAACACCGGUGGCGAAGGCGGCUUCCUGGCCGAGUACUGACGCUGAGGCACGAAAGCGUGGGGAGCGAACGGG